rnacentral:rRNA from 1 species
GAUGAACGCUGGCGGCGUGCCUAAUACAUGCAAGUCGAGCGAACAGACGAGGAGCUUGCUCCUCUGACGUUAGCGGCGGACGGGUGAGUAACACGUGGAUAACCUACCUAUAAGACUGGGAUAACUUCGGGAAACCGGAGCUAAUACCGGAUAAUAUAUUGAACCGCAUGGUUCAAUAGUGAAAGACGGUUUUGCUGUCACUUAUAGAUGGAUCCGCGCCGCAUUAGCUAGUUGGUAAGGUAACGGCUUACCAAGGCAACGAUGCGUAGCCGACCUGAGAGGGUGAUCGGCCACACUGGAACUGAGACACGGUCCAGACUCCUACGGGAGGCAGCAGUAGGGAAUCUUCCGCAAUGGGCGAAAGCCUGACGGAGCAACGCCGCGUGAGUGAUGAAGGUCUUCGGAUCGUAAAGCUCUGUUAGUAGGGAAGAACAAAUGUGUAAGUAACUAUGCACGUCUUGACGGUACCUAAACAGAAAGCCACGGCUAACUACGUG